GCUGAUGACCGUAACUGCAUUCACGGUCAUCCCAAGAUGUCGGAUGAAAAAUUAGGUCAGUAUCUGUAUUGUCUGUUACAGUGUUUCUAUAUCAUUUUCUUUACAAAGUUUACAUUGAUACGAUGUAUUUAAAAUUUAUAAAAGAUUCACACAGAAAUCUUGGGAUGACCGUGAAUGCAGUUACGGUCAUCAGC
rnacentral:sRNA from 1 species